GACAGAGGGUGCAAACGUUGUUCGGAAUUACUGGGCGUAAAGCGCGUGUAGGCGGCAGCGUGUGUCGGGCGUGAAAUCCCAUGGCUCAACCAUGGAAGUGCACCCGGAACUGCGCAGCUAGAGUCCUGGAGAGGAAGGUGGAAUACUUGGUGUAGAGGUGAAAUUCGUAGAUAUCAAGUGGAACACCGGUGGCGAAGGCGGCCUUCUGGACAGUGACUGACGCUGAGACGCGAAAGCGUGGGGAGCAAACAGG
rnacentral:rRNA from 1 species